rnacentral:rRNA from 1 species
GACGAACGCUGGCGGCGUGCUUAACACAUGCAAGUCGAACGCUGAAGACCUGGCUUUUGUUGGGUUGGAUGAGUGGCGAACGGGUGAGUAACACGUGAGUAACCUGCCCUCUUCUUUGGGAUAACGCCCGGAAACGGGUGCUAAUACUGGAUAUUCACUGAUCUUCGCAUGGGGGUUGGUGGAAAGGUUUGUUCUGGUGGGGGAUGGGCUCGCGGCCUAUCAGCUUGUUGGUGGGGUGAUGGCCUACCAAGGCUUUGACGGGUAGCCGGCCUGAGAGGGUGACCGGUCACAUUGGGACUGAGAUACGGCCCAGACUCCUACGGGAGGCAGCAGUGGGGAAUAUUGCACAAUGGGCGAAAGCCUGAUGCAGCGACGCCGCGUGAGGGAUGGAGGCCUGCGGGUUGUAAACCUCUUUCGCUCAUGGGCAAGCCGCAACUGUGGGUUGUGGUGAGGGUAGUGGGUAAAGAAGCGCCGGCUAACUACGUG